rnacentral:rRNA from 1 species
UACGUAGGUGGCAAGCGUUGUCCGGAAUUACUGGGUGUAAAGGGCGUGUAGGCGGGUCUGCAAGUCAGAUGUGAAAUUCCCAGGCUCAACCUGGGAGCUGCAUCUGAAACUGUGGUUCUUGAGUGCUGGAGAGGAAAGCGGAAUUCCUAGUGUAGCGGUGAAAUGCGUAGAUAUUAGGAGGAACACCAGUGGCGAAGGCGGCUCACUGGUCCGGUACUGACGCUGAGGUGCGAAAGCGUGGGGAGCAAACAGG